rnacentral:lncRNA from 1 species
UCCUGCCCUCAAACACUGGACUCCAGGUUCUUGUUUUGGGACUUGGACUGGCUCUCCUUGCUCCUCAGCUUACAGAUGCCUAUUGUAGGACCUUGUGAUAGUGUAGCUGUAUGGUGAGCAUUCCUCUCCCAGCAAUCUGUUGUUCUUUGUGAGCAGACUGGAGUGUGACAGCUGUGAAAACGAUCAAAGGCAGGUCCCAGACAGGAGAGGGCUGAUGACAAUGCCAGUUUCCCUCUAAGACCCUGUGGACAGCAGGGCCAUGAGGGAUGCUGUGACACAGAGUCUUGCUUGAUGCAGUGUGUGGUGUUACUCACAGGAGUGGGUUCAGCCACUCUUGGUGUGAAACCCAAGGAAAAUGUCUCUGCCGCAGCUGAUGUCAACAUGUACAGCAUGUGACCAGCUUGCAUUCAGAAAGGAGAUGUGUGUAUGAGUUCUGCAGAAGUCCACCAAAUGUGGGCCAGGGUUAUUUCCCUGGUGAUGCUCUGAAGCUUUUGCCAAAGGACAAAUGGAAACAGGAAGUACAAUCAUGCACUGGGGUAAAGAAGAUUCAUCUGCUCUUAGCUACCUACCAUGCCAACACUCCUGAGAAAGCUCACAGAGGCCCAUGAUGCCCACCUGGAUCUGAGGACCUAGAAAGCCACAACAGGCAACCAUAAUCUGGGUCUUCCCUCAGCCAACUCCCCUGCAUAAAGUGAAUGAAUGAAAAACCCAUCUUAUAUUAAUCAGAGUUCUCUAGAGAAAAAGAACCAAUCAGAUGUGUAUAUAUAGAAAGAGAGAAUUAUUUUAGGGAAUUAGCUCACAUCAUUAUGCAGGCUGGUCAAUCAAAAAUCUGUGGAGUGGGCUAGCAGGCUGGAGACCCAGGGAAAGGCUAAAUUGCAGUUUAGAUCAGAAGGUCAUCUACUGGCAGAAUUCCCUCAUCUUCCAGGAAGGUGGAUCUUUUUCUACCAAGGCCUUCAGUUUAUUAGAUUAGGCCCAUGAACAUGCUGGAGGGUAAUCUGCUUUACUCAAUACAUACUGAUUUGAAUGUUAGUAUCAUCAAAAAGACCUUCACAGAAACAUCUAAAAUAAUGUUUGACCAAAUGUCUGCAUACCAUGGCCAAGCCAAGUUUACACAUAAAAUUAAUUAUCACACAUCCCACGAACACCAUCCCCAACAGAUGCUCAUGAGCAUUGUGGUUAUGAUUUCAACUUCAGAAUAAGGCAGAAAUGUGUACAAAUCCUGACCCUUUGACUUAUCAGCUCUCUAAAAAUCAUUAUAUGUCAACUUUCUAGACUUUACCUGAAAAACAGAAACCAAGAUACCCACAGCAUAAGAUUGUUAGGAUUGAAGAAAUUGUUACGAUUGUUAGGUAUGAAGAAAUUUAAACAAUGAUGCAGCUGAGAUAUUUAGAAUUGUACCUGGCAUGUACUUUGUAUUAAAUAACUAAUAAGGCCUUUUUCUGGUGAAAACAAAAUAAGCCUGGAUAAAAGAAGAUGAGACCAGAUUGGUUGAUGGCUCGGCCUGGGUGGGCUCCUGGCCCAUCUGAAAUUACAUUACUCUUAUGUAGUGCCUUUUUUGUUAUUGCUAAAAUAAAAUAAAUAAAACACUCUACUUUCA